rnacentral:rRNA from 1 species
AAGAGACAGCAGUAGCCGCGGUAAAACGGAGGGUGCAAGCGUUAAUCGGAAUUACUGGGCGUAAAGCGCACGCAGGCGGUUUGUUAAGUCAGAUGUGAAAUCCCCGAGCUUAACUUGGGAACUGCAUUUGAAACUGGCAAGCUAGAGUCUUGUAGAGGGGGGUAGAAUUCCAGGUGUAGCGGUGAAAUGCGUAGAGAUCUGGAGGAAUACCGGUGGCGAAGGCGGCCCCCUGGACAAAGACUGACGCUCAGGUGCGAAAGCGUGGGGAGCAAACAGGAUUAGAUACCCCGGUAGUCCCUGUCUCUUAUAC